AAAAUUAAAUAUGAUGUCCCACUCUUAGGAAAAAAAGCUCGUGAGCCCUGAGGAUGGGCAGCCUAUCUUCCACUCCCUCAGAAUGUCUUCACAUCUCCUAACAAAGGAUGAACAAAGAACAGAGCCCUUCAGAACAACAGAAACACAGUAUUGGAGCCAACCUCACAUUGACUAAUCCCCAGGAAGGCACACAGGCUCAGGCUCUUGGGACAGGAGCUCAUUCUGUGGACCGCACUGGAGAAACAGAGGCUGGAAGGCUUUGUCCUCCCCACCUGCCCCCAUCUGAUGUGAGAUCUGAGGCAGGGCCACUGUCAGGCCUGGGAUUAAACAUCAG
rnacentral:lncRNA from 1 species